AUUGAACGCUGGCGGCAGGCCUAACACAUGCAAGUCGAGCGGUUGAGGUAGCUUGCUACCGAUGCAGCGGCGAACGGGUGAGUAAUACAUGGGAAUCUGCCUGGUAGUGGGGGGACAACGUCUCGAAAGGGACGCUAAUACCGCAUACGCCCUACGGGGAAAGGGGGGAGUCUUCGGACCUCUCGCUAUCAGAUGAGCCCAUGUCAGAUUAGCUAGUUGGUGGGGUAAAGGCUCACCAAGGCGACGAUCUGUAACUGGUCUGAGAGGAUGAUCAGUCACACUGGAACUGAGACACGGUCCAGACUCCUACGGGAGGCAGCAGUGGGGAAUAUUGGACAAUGGGGGCAACCCUGAUCCAGCAAUGCCGCGUGAGUGAAGAAGGCCCUCGGGUUGUAAAGCUCUUUUGUCAGGGAAGAAAAGGUUGUGGGCUAAUAUCCACGGCUGAUGACGGUACCUGAAGAAUAAGCACCGGCUAACUACGUGCCAGCAGCCGCGGUAA
rnacentral:rRNA from 1 species